CCCCUGUUUCCCUGGAAUGCUAGCCCCACAGAUGCAACCACAGUGGACGAAUGGUUUAGGUGGAGUGAACAGGUGUCUUAAAAGAACAAAGAAUUUGCAGGCCGACAUCGAGGGGAAAUCCCACAGUUCCAACCUUGUGACUGAGUAUGGCUGGUGACCAAGGACUUCAGAAACAGCUGACUGUCACAGAUUACAAUCACCAGCACAGCACUCCACCAUCAUGUUCACAGUCACCUGAGUUCUAAUGAUGCACACCUGAUCCCAAACUCACACACACACACACACACACACUUUAUAAAUAUGGACUCUCACCAAAGACUCAUUGUGAUGUAAUGCUCAAUGUGCCUUUACCUGACUUACCAAGCCUUGUCUUCUGUGAUUAGAUAUUCUGGUUUUUGCCUUGCUGUCUGCUUUUUGUAUUUUUUGGAAUUGCCCUCACAGUGUUGUUUGCUGAUUGCCUGACUUCUUGCCUGUUCCUGUUUAUGGGUUUUGCUCCACAUUUUUUAUCUGCUUGCCAGUGUCUUCAGUAAACUCUAAACUGCAUUUGCAUCUGUCUCCGACUCCACCACAUGACACUUAGCAGCCUCAAAACUGCUACUCCUGGGUAAAGGUCUGCAGAGAAUCACUGCCUCCUACCAGACAGAAGCAACCACGAGACAAAUGACAUACUUGGCAUACACUCUGGGAAAGCAAGUUCCCCAGAGUGGAAUAUGAUCAUCUUCUCUCAGAAAUCACAGCUCUUGACCUAAGUUCAAGAAACUAGCCUUUAAUGAUAACAGAGCGUUUGAUGAGGCUCUACAAGGAAUUACAGCAAGCAGCUAGAGGCAACUCCAGCAGCCAGCCAGCUCAGCCAACAGGGAGAAUAAGGAGCAGGGGUAAAAGCAGUGGAGUCAUAAACCUUUGCCAUUUUCAGACUGUUUGAUGACAAGAUGCAAUAAAAAUGAAUCGUUCAGCUGAUGCCACAUUAGAGGUGCCAUCAUAUCUGUGAGAGCCCAAAUCCUGCCAACAUUCAUGCAUUUUGUCUAGGAGCUCCAGAUUUUAACAUCAGAGGUCAUUGUUACGAGUCAUCACUCAAAAAUAUGAUAUAAGUCUUUCCUUUUUUUCGCCCAAUAAAAACAGCAGAUGAGCCAA